rnacentral:rRNA from 1 species
AGCGAACGUUAGCGGUGUGGAUUAGGCAUGCAAGUCGCGCGCGAAAGUCCGCAAGGAUGAGUAAAGCGGCGAAAGGGUGAGUAACACGUGAUCAACCAACCCCCGAGAUCGGAAUAACCACUGGAAACGGUGGCUAAUGCUGGAUACCUCUGCGUCGCGGCAUCGCGACGCAAAGAAACGGUGGCGCAAGCUGCUGUUCGGGGACGGGAUUGCGGCCUAUCAGCUAGUUGGCGGGGUAACGGCCCACCAAGGCGAUGACGGGUAGCCGAUCUGAGAGGACGACCGGCCACACUGGGACUGAGACACUGCCCAGACUCCUACGGGAGGCUGCAGUCGAGAAUCUUCCGCAAUGGGCGAAAGCCUGACGGAGCGACACCGCGUGCAGGAUGAAGGCCUUCGGGUUGUAAACUGCUGUCACGCCAUAGGAAACUCUGAAUGUGAAUAGCAUUCAGACUGACUAAAGCGAGA